CUACUCUUCAUUACUUUGAAAGUAUUUGUCAACACUGCUGGAAAAAAAUGAUCAAUGCUAUUUCUCUCUUUCUUUUAGAUUGAUUUUGAGGUAACAAGAUGACAGAGUUUCAAAGAAACAUAAAUGGGGACUCCAGUUGAAUAUAUAGGAUAUUUUCAUUCUAUCUGCCAUGUGUUAUAUGCCUGAUUCUAUGAAUUCAUCUUUUAUUUCUGUAUUCAUUUUAUAUUCUACAUUUUGCACCUGCCAAUUCCACUGUCUUGAGAGUUUGACUGUCUUCCUAUGGUGUCAAGAUGGCUCCUGGAAGCUCCACACUUAGCUGGUCAUUAAAGAUUAUGAUGUCACAGAAAGAUAGAAACCAUCUUGUCUUCAACAGCCUCAUCAACUCCUGGGAAGAUUGCUUAGAGCCAGUUUGCCCACAGGGCAUCAAAUCAUGGAUUCUCUCCAUCAUGCCUGCCUCUUGCUUGCUCUUGUCCAGCUAUGCCAAUAUCUAA
rnacentral:lncRNA from 1 species